rnacentral:rRNA from 1 species
UUCGUAAUAUGGAGAGGACAGUGGCGAACGGGUGAGUAACACGUAGACGACCUGCCCCGAAGAGCGGGACAACCAUUGGAAACCAUGGCUAAAACCGCAUAAGCUCACGGCGAUUAGUAAACUGUGAGAAAAGACUUUGGUGCUUCGGGAGGGGUCUGCGGCCCAUCAGCUAGCUGGUAGGGUAACGGCCUACCAGGGCGAAGACGGGUAGGGGUCCUGAGAGGGUGGCCCCCCACACGGGAACUGAGACACGGUCCCG